rnacentral:misc_RNA from 1 species
GUCUCUUUGGGGUUGAAACAAACAUGGGAUCACUUAUUUAUAUAGCAAAAGUCAGUGUUGACUGGGGAAAGAAAGAUAUGGAUGCACCUGAAGAUGGUCUCAAGUAUAAAACAGUUCUCUCUGUUGAUGUUACCGGGAUGGGUGUUCACUUAACCUUCAGGCGGAUUGGGUCUCUUAUGUCUACAGCUUUGUCUUUCAAGCACUUACUGAAGAGUCUUUCUGGUUCUGGUAAGAAACCUCACAACCGGGUGACAAAAUCGUCCAGGCCAUCAGGGAAAG